rnacentral:rRNA from 1 species
CCUUGCCAGCCCGCUCAGAAACUUAAGGAAUUGACGGGGGCCCGCACAAGCGGUGGAGCAUGUGGUUUAAUUCGAUGAUACGCGAGGAACCUUACCUGGGCUCAAAUGUAUGUUGACGUAUUCUGAAAGGGAUACUUCUUCGGACAAUAUACAAGGUGCUGCAUGGUUGUCGUCAGCUCGUGCCGUGAGGUGUCGGGUUAAGUCCCAUAACGAGCGCAACCCCUAUCAUUAGUUGCCAUCAGGUCAAGCUGGGGACUCUAAUGAAACUGCCUACGCAAGUAGUGAGGAAGGUGGGGAUGACGUCAAAUCAGCACGGCCCUUACGUCCAGGGCUACACACGUGCUACAAUGGCCGGUACAAAGGGCAGCUACCUGGUGACAGGAUGCAAAUCUCCAAAGUCGGUCUCAGUUCGGAUCGGAGUCUGCAACCCGACUCCGUGAAGCUGGAUUCGCUAGUAAUCGCGCAUCAGCCACGGCGCGGUGAAUACGUUCCCGGGCCUU